AUCGCCCGUCGCUCGCGGGGAAACCUGUGAAAAGUCGUAACAAGGUAGCAGUAACGGAAGUUGUUGCUA
rnacentral:rRNA from 1 species